CCUACGGGUGUGCAGCAGUGGGGAAUAUUGCGCAAUGGGCGAAAGCCUGACGCAGCGACGCCGCGUGAGGGAUGAAGGUCUUCGGAUCGUAAACCUCUGUCAGCAGGGAAGAACGGUCACUGUGCUAAUCAGCAGUGAAUUGACGGUACCUGCAAAGGCAGCACCGGCUAACUCCGUGCCAGCAGCCGCGGUAAUACGGAGGAUGCGAGCGUUAUCCGGAUUUAUUGGGUUUAAAGGGUGCGUAGGCGGUCCGUUAAGUCAGCGGUAAAAUUGCGGGGCUCAACCCCGUCGAGCGGUUGAAACUGGCAGACUUGAGUUGGCGAGAAGUACGCGGAAUGCGCGGUGUAGCGGUGAAAUGCAUAGAUAUCGCGCAGAACUCCGAUUGCGAAGGCAGCGUACCGGCGCCAGACUGACGCUGAGGCACGAAAGCGUGGGGAUCGAACAGGAUUAGAUACCCCAGUAGUC
rnacentral:rRNA from 1 species